rnacentral:sRNA from 1 species
UUCAUGUGAAAUGUAGCCGCCAAC